rnacentral:sRNA from 20 species
UCGUGGAAGUAUCCAAAACAACGUAGCAAGUUAAAAUAAGGCUUAGUCCGUCAUCAGCUUUUCAAAGAAGCACUGUCUCGGUGCUUUUUUU